UGUGAAGAAGCUUUUUAACAUGAUAUGAUCUCAUUUGUCUUUUUUUGCUUUUUGCCUGUGUCUGUCGGGUAUUUCUCAAGAAAUCAUUUCCCAGUCCAAUGUCCUAGAAAGUUUUCUCAAAGUUUUAUUUGAGCAGUUUCAUAAUUUGAAGUCUUAGAUUGAACCUGUCCCAUCCUUCUGUAUAUGGAUAUUCCGUUUUUUGAGCACCUUUAUUAAAAAGAUAGUAUUUU